rnacentral:rRNA from 1 species
UGGGGAAUAUUGGACAAUGGGCGAAAGCCUGAUCCAGCCAUGCUGCGUGUGUGAAGAAGGUCUUCGGAUUGUAAAGCACUUUAAGUUGGGAGGAAGGGCAUUAACCUAAUACGUUAGUGUUUUGACGUUACCGACAGAAUAAGCACCGGCUAACUCUGUGCCAGCAGCCGCGGUAAUACAGAGGGUGCAAGCGUUAAUCGGAAUUACUGGGCGUAAAGCGCGCUUAGGUGGUUUGUUAAGUUGGAUGUGAAAUCCCCUGUCUCAACCUGGGAACUGCAUUCAAAACUGACUGACUAGAGUAUGGUAGAGGGUGGUGGAAUUUCCUGUGUAGCGGUGAAAUGCGUAGAUAUAGGAAGGAACACCAGUGGCGAAGGCGACCACCUGGACUAAUACUGACACUGAGGUGCGAAAGCGUGGGGAGCAAACA